rnacentral:ncRNA from 1 species
AAAUUAAAAUUUUAAAAAUUUUUAAAAAAAAGAUUAGUAUAUAAUUUUUUAAAAUUAAUGAUAAUUAAAAAAAGUAAUAUUUAAAUAUUAUUAAUAAAAUUUUGUGCCAGCAAUUGCGGUUAGACAAAGAAUAAUAUGAAUAUUUAUAAAUUUAAAUUAAUAAGAAUUAAAUAAUAAUAAUAAAUUAGUUUAAAGGUAAAAUUUUAUAAUUAAUUUAUAUAUUUAUUAAAUAGAUUAUAUGAUUUUUAUUAAAUUAAUCAAUAAACUAGGAUUAGAUACCCUAUUAUUUUAAUAAAAAAUAAAAAAUUUAAGCAUUUAAAAUUUAUGAAUAGAUAAAACUUAAAAAAAUUGGCAGUAUUUUAAUCAAUUUAGAGGAACUUGUAUUUUAAUAGAUAUUCCACUAAUAAUUUUACUUGAGUUUUAAAUUUGUAUAUCGUUGUUAUAAAAAUAUUUUUUAAAAAUUAAUAAUAUUUAAAAAUUUAAAUUUGAAUUUAUAUCAAAUCAAGAUGCAGUUUAUACUUUAGAUAUUUAUGAGUUACAUUAUUUAAUAUGAUUAUGAAUUUUUAAGUGAAAUUUACAAUGAAAUUGGAUUUAAAAGUAAUAUAAAAUAAUUAUUUUAUAUGAUUAAUGUUUUAAAAUAUGUACAUAUUGCCCGUCGCUUUCAAUAAAUUUUAUAAGUAAUUUAUUUAUAAAUUAUUUGAAAUAAGUCGUAACAAAGUAGAAGUACUGGAAAGUGUUUCUAGAAG